rnacentral:rRNA from 1 species
GACGAACGCUGGCGGCGUGCUUAACACAUGCAAGUCGAACGGAAAUGCCCUGCUUGUGUGGGGUGCUCGCGUGGCAAACGGAUGAGUAACACGGGAGUAACCUGGCCUUUACUUUGGGAUACCUUGGGGAAUCUGGGGCUAAUACCGGAUAGGAGCUCCUACUACAUGAUGUGGGUUGGAAAGUUUCGGCGGAUGGGGAUGGACUCGCGGCAUCUCAGUUUGUUGGUGGGGUAGUGGCUUAGCAAGGCUUUGCCGGGUAGCCGGCCUGAGAGGGUGACCGGCCACAUUGGGACUCAGAAGCGGCCCAGACUCAUACGGGAGCCAGGAGUGGGAGAUAUUGCACGAUGGGCGGCAGCCGUAUGCAGCAUCUCCGCGUGGGGGAUCACGGCUGUCGGGUUGGAACCCGCAUGCGCCUGUGACGAAGCGUGCGUGACGGUAAUGGGCAAAGAAGCACCGGCUAACUACGUG